GGAACAUGGCCGAUAUACGACAGUGUUUAUUUUAUAUGACCAUCAUCUUUGUGGUAUAUAUUCAGUAUAUAAAUGGACAGCCAGGAUUUGGAUAUAAUGAUAGAUAUGUAAGUCAUUGUGAUGGAGGAUAUUGGUAUACUAAUACAGGUUACUGUUCUAGUGGUAGAUGUCAGAAAGGAUGGCAUGGUUGGUCAUGUCAAAAAGAAAAUGUUGCCUUAAACAAAAAUACGUGGCAAAGCUCAACCUAUUGGGACUUGAAUGGAGAAAGAUAUUCUCGUUAUGCAGUAGAUGGUGAUACUCGUCAUGGCAAGGAAUAUAAUAAAUGUACUCAUACGGUUGGUGGCAAAACAGCUGCUUCAUGGGGAGUAGAUUUAGGACAAAGUUAUCCUGUUAAUAACAUAAAGAUAUAUGCA